AUCCUCAGCGCUUGCAACAUACUAACCUAAUUCAUUCAUAAUCUUUGUCAUUUUAAUUUCACUCUUAGUCUGAGAAUGUUUUGAGUUAAGACAAAAACGUCACUUAUAAGCUAUAUAUCUGUGUGUAUGGGUCUACUUAAAGCAUUGUGGUGGGCUCUUUAUAGUUCAUUACAAGUCUAAGAGCUACGGUCAAAUAUGUGCGUGACGUGUCGCCUUCUGUUGUUGACAAGGUGCUAGAUCAUCACGAAUCUUUUAUAUUUUUGAUUUUACAAAGGU